rnacentral:rRNA from 1 species
GGGACGGGUGAGUAAUGUCUGGGAAACUGCCUGAUGGAGGGGGGUAACUACUGGAAACGGUAGCUAAUACCGCAUAACGUCGCAAGACCAAAGAGGGGGACCUUCGGGCCUCUUGCCAUCGGAUGUGCCCAGAUGGGAUUAGCUAGUAGGUGGGGUAACGGCUCACCUAGGCGACGAUCCCUAGCUGGUCUGAGAGGAUGACCAGCCACACUGGAACUGAGACACGGUCCAG